AUUGAACGCUGGCGGCAGGCCUAACACAUGCAAGUCGAGCGGAUGAAGGGAGCUUGCUCCUGGAUUCAGCGGCGGACGGGUGAGUAAUGCCUAGGAAUCUGCCUGGUAGUGGGGGAUAACGUCCGGAAACGGGCGCUAAUACCGCAUACGUCCUGAGGGAGAAAGUGGGGGAUCUUCGGACCUCACGCUAUCAGAUGAGCCUAGGUCGGAUUAGCUAGUUGGUGGGGUAAAGGCCUACCAAGGCGACGAUUCGCAACUGGUCUGAGAGGAUGAUCAGUCACACUGGAACUGAGACAGGGUCAAGACUCCUACGGGAGGCAGCAGUGGGGAAUAUUGGACAAUGGGCGAAAGCCUGAUCCAGCCAUGCCGCGUGUGUGAAGAAGGUCUUCGGAUUGUAAAGCACUUUAAGUUGGGAGGAAGGGCAGUAAGUUAAUACCUUGCUGUUUUGACGUUACCAACAGAAUAAGCACCGGCUAACUUCGUG
rnacentral:rRNA from 1 species